GAGGUGGAAAGCUGAGUCGAAUUGGUGAAGUAGAGAAGGGGCUGUUGACGCUAAUUUCCUCAGAUGCUCCUGGACUUCAGGCAAGGCUCUCAUCCAUGCUACAGCUGGUCUGAGGCCUGCGGUUUCACAUCGUUCUAGUGGCGGAAGGACAUCUCUCGUCUUUAGGCUCAUGCCACAAGGCAAUGCAAUACGUGAUUGUUCACCAAUUGCAGCAGCUGGUCAUGUCAUUCCUCAGAGUUAUGUGCCAAUCUCUGUA